UACGGAGGAUGCGAGCGUUAUCCGGAUUCAUUGGGUUUAAAGGGUGCGCAGGCGGGCACUUAAGUCAGGAGUGAAAUACUACGGCUCAACCGUGGAACUGCCUUUGAUACUGAUUGUCUUGAAUUUAGUUGAAGUAGACGGAAUGUAGCAUGUAGCGGUAAAAUGCAUAGAUAUGCUACAGAACACCGAUAGCGAAGGCAGCUCACUAAGUUAAUAUUGACGCUCAUGCACGAAAGCGUGGGGAUCAAACAGG
rnacentral:rRNA from 1 species